CCAUAUCAAUUAAAAUAAUCAGAGUUGAGAUUUUUUAAAAACAAUUCAGAUCUGAAGUUACAAGUGACAAUUCUUUAGAAGUAAAUUAGAUCCAAAACUGCUUUAUUUUCCUCCCUUAGUCUCCCCUUCCUCCAUCCAUUAUGGUGACGAUGAAAUGGCAGAAUCGAUGAUUCCUUUGAUGUCGAUGCAAAUAAAGAGAUAUAAUCAAC
rnacentral:lncRNA from 1 species